CUGGUUUCACAUAAAAAUUUCUGAAACUUUAAGAAUUUUCUAAGUAACAAAAGUCUCACGUUCGUGUAAACAGCCAUGUGGACGAAUAUAAACCAUUUGCAAGGCCAAUUUGCCAACCAUAAGGGUCAACCCUACACAAGCACAUUCCAAUUAUAAGGCCAUCUACAUAUCAAACCUCACAUUAUAAACAAGCCAAAUCUCAUGGCUCAAUACAUUUCAAACAUAUAGGCACCAAUAGCCAAAAUCACUUAUACACUUA
rnacentral:lncRNA from 1 species